GCCUGUUGAACAUGUGGCUGACUCUGUUGCUGGCUUCAUCGGGCAAAGUGUGAAACAAGAGAAGGAAGUAAUCAACAUAUUAGAAGGUUUUGAUAUAUAGAUGUCAUGCUAAAGUUCUCGGGCAGGUCGCUGUCAUAACACGCUAACAGGUCUUAGUACGCAGGCUAUGCACAAGCAAGUACAUAUGGCUUCUGUUGAGCAAAUAAUGGCUCAUUAUAACUGAGGAGGAUGUAGUGGACAUAAAAAAAACCACAGCUCCAACAAUCUGGUCUCACUGGUAUCAACAGUGUUUUGCCAAGUGCAUCGCCAUACUUCCCGAUCCCUUCUUGGGCGACAUCAGUGAGGACCAGCUUGAGGCAAGGAGUAAUCGACAUCUUUAUGAGCUAAAAAUGUAUGCAUGCAUGGAAAGUGCAUUGCAUCUAAAGACUGGGCACUUCACAGGGACUCUGGAGACAACGGAUUAUUGACAGUGGGCAAAUACAAGCUUCUCUACUAUUAAACACCGAACACUGUUGCCAGGUAGCAACCUCUGAAAAAAUCCCCUCAAAGGGGGAAUCAUCUUUGUGCAUGAUCUUUGUGCAUCCAUUAAGAGGGCAGGCAGGCAGAGCUCCUUGAGUGAUGUUGCCAGCUUCAAAAGGCCCACUUCGCAUAUCCUGAAUGCUUUCUUCUUAGCCUUUGCUGGGUGCAAGCCUUCUGCCGUCCAAAAGUUGUCAUUGAGAGCACUGUUGGUUUGAUGGCAAUACAGUUCAGAAGCAAUUCUAACAAACCUCCCUUCCUAGUUGGUCUUUAGGAACACGGUGCUUUUGAAGCAG
rnacentral:lncRNA from 1 species